UCUGCCCUGCACUCUGGGAUAAGCCCGGGAAACUGGGUCUAAUACCGGAUAUGACCUUCGGUCGCAUGAUCGUUGGUGGAAAGCUUUUGCGGUGUGGGAUGGGCCCGCGGCCUAUCAGCUUGUUGGUGGGGUGAUGGCCUACCAAGGCGACGACGGGUAGCCGGCCUGAGAGGGUGACCGGCCACACUGGGACUGAGACACGGCCCAGACUCCUACGGGAGGCAGCAGUGGGGAAUAUUGCACAAUGGGCGCAAGCCUGAUGCAGCGACGCCGCGUGAGGGAUGACGGCCUUCGGGUUGUAAACCUCUUUCAGCAGGGAAGAAGCGCAAGUGACGGUACCUGCAGAAGAAGCACCGGCUAACUACGUGCCAGCAGCCGCGGUAAUACGUAGGGUGCAAGCGUUGUCCGGAAUUAUUGGGCGUAAAGAGCUCGUAGGCGGCUUGUCGCGUCGGUUGUGAAAGCCCGGGGCUUAACCCUGGGUCUGCAGUCGAUACGGGCAGGCUAGAGUUCGGUAGGGGAGACUGGAAUUCCUGGUGUAGCGGUGAAAUGCGCAGAUAUCAGGAGGAACACCGGUGGCGAAGGCGGGUCUCUGGGCCGAUACUGACGCUGA
rnacentral:rRNA from 1 species